UACGGAGGGUGCAAGCGUUAUCCGGAUUCACUGGGUUUAAAGGGUGCGUAGGUGGGCAGGUAAGUCAGUGGUGAAAUCUCCGGGCUUAACCCGGAAACUGCCAUUGAUACUAUCUGUCUUGAAUACCGUGGAGGUGAGCGGAAUAUGUCAUGUAGCGGUGAAAUGCUUAGAUAUGACAUAGAACACCAAUUGCGAAGGCAGCUCACUACACGAAUAUUGACACUGAGGCACGAAAACGUGGGGAUCAAACAGG
rnacentral:rRNA from 1 species